rnacentral:lncRNA from 1 species
GGUAGUUGUUGUUGUUGUUGAAUCCGCACAGAAAGAAGGAAUUUUGGCCUAGCAGAAUCACAACCAGAAAUAGAUAAGGCGUAUGAAAAAAUGAUAGCAGAACUUGCUCAGGAAGCAACUUCACCCGGAAGUGGUGAUGAACAAGCUUCAUUUCCACCACCGCCAACACAACCACCUCCAAACCUUGAAGGUUUUAUGAGAUUUGUUAGAUGGUGGUAUUAGUACCAUAUUAUGCUCAUUCCA